GGCCCGGUGGCAGAGUGGUUAUGCAGAGGCCUGCAAAGCCUUGUACAUCGGUUCGAUUCCGGUCCGGGCCUCCA
rnacentral:tRNA from 3 species